GACAGAGGGUGCAAACGUUGUUCGGAAUUAUUGGGCGUAAAGGGCGCGUAGGCGGCCCUGUAAGUCAAAGGUGAAAUCCCUCGGCUCAACUGAGGAACUGCCUUUGAAACUGCAGGGCUUGAGGCCGGGAGGGGGUAGCGGAAUUCCCAAUGUAGCGGUGAAAUGCGUAGAUAUUGGGAGGAACACCAGUGGCGAAGGCGGCUACCUGGACCGGUUCUGACGCUGAGGCGCGAAAGCGUGGGGAGCAAACAGG
rnacentral:rRNA from 1 species